rnacentral:rRNA from 1 species
GACGAACGCUGGCGGCGUGCCUAAUACAUGCAAGUCGAGCGGACGAAUCGAAAGCUUGCUUUUGAUUCGUUAGCGGCGGACGGGUGAGUAACACGUGGGCAACCUGCCCUGUAGACGGGGAUAACACCGAGAAAUCGGUGCUAAUACCGGAUAACACGAAAUGUCGCAUGACGUUUCGUUGAAAGACGGCGCAAGCUGUCGCUACAGGAUGGGCCCGCGGCGCAUUAGCUAGUUGGUGAGGUAACGGCUCACCAAGGCGACGAUGCGUGGCCGACCUGAGAGGGUGAUCGGCCACACUGGGACUGAGACACGGCCCAGACUCCUACGGGAGGCAGCAGUAAGGAAUCUUCCGCAAUGGACGAAAGUCUGACGGAGCAACGCCGCGUGAGCGAAGAAGGCCUUCGGGUCGUAAAGCUCUGUUGUUAGGGAAGAACGAGUAACGCAGUAACUGGCGUUACCGUGACGGUACCUAACGAGAAAGCCACGGCUAACUACGUG